rnacentral:rRNA from 1 species
UACGUAGGGACCGAGCGUUGUCCGGAUUCAUUGGGCGUAAAGAGCUCGUAGGCGGCUGUUCAAGUCGAACGUGAAAACUCGGAGCUCAACUCCGAGCCUGCGUUCGAUACUGGACGGCUAGAGUCUGGUAGGGGGAUCUGGAAUUCCUGGUGUAGCGGUGGAAUGCGCAGAUAUCGAGAGGAACACCUGCGGCGAAGGCGGGUUGCUGGGCUGACACUGACGCUGAUGCGCGAAAGCCAGGGGAGCGAACGGG